rnacentral:lncRNA from 1 species
GGAUUUUGGUUUAAUUAAUAUAUUUUUUAGUAUUUUUCAAAUGUUUUCCAAUGAACAUAAUGAGAAAAAAGAUCAGUUUCAAAACAAGAAACACUCUGAAAUUUUUAUUUAUUUUAUUUUGCAGUGAAAGAACAUGAAAAAACUUCAAAAUGGUAACAUGAUUACUUCCAAUGAAUGAUUAAGUGUACUAUAGGAAGAGAAAUACACUCUUAAUACAGUUUACAUAAUUACACAGAAUAAUAUGUGGCAAUCUCUUGAAAGUAAUGUGAUUAACCACUAAUAAACAAUAACCUCAAUAUAACUAUGUUAUAUUAUUUAUUAUGGUCACAUAAAAUACAAGAGCCUAUGGACCAGCUAUUAUUAACAAUAAAUGUGGUUUUGCCUGAAAUUCUUAACUAUUUACAGGUUUCUUAAGCAUUCAAGUUUUAAAUCUACUGUAUUUUUAUUGCAAAAUGAAGCAGGUACAACAGCAUUAAACCCACUAGAUUAAGGUCUAAGAAAACAAAUAUAAAAACAAACAACAGCAACAGCAGAAAACCUUGGGUUGGUUCUCCAAGAUUUUCUUUUCAAAUAAAUGUUGAUCUCAUUUAGCAGUUCCGAUAAUACUCACAGCCACAGAUUAAUAGCUACAUGAUAAAAGGACUUUAGAAGGAUUUAAACUACACAACACUAUACUAAUAUUUUAAAUCAUCUACCACAGUUUACAUUUCUUGAAAGCAUUCUACUACUAAAAUGCAACACCAAAUGAAUUAGUAUUUAAAUUUCUCCUAUACUUCUGAGACCUAUGUUUUAACUGGCACUGCAAGAAAAAAUUCAGAACACGAGAAUAUAAUUAACUUAUAUAUAUUGAGUAAAGAUCUAAGGCAGUAAAUGUUAGGGCCAAGUAUACUCUGCUGUUAGCGAUCAAUGUCUUCUACUAUUGUCUCAAGAUUUUUGCAACAGGCUUUAACCUCCUCAAUUGCAGCCAUCCAAUUAUCAUAAAUAAUUUUGUCAUAAAUUGCAUCAUUAACUUCCCUAACUACCCCCUCCUGCUGAGACUCAAGGGCAUCACCUGAGAAAAACAACACUGAUCUUGGAAUUAUAUAAGUACGUAAAUUGUGACCAAGUAAAAAAUCAUCAUUUCCAUCUUUUCCAUUUGAGCUGAUUCCCUGAGGAGUAAAGAAAUUGAAGAAUGAAUCCUUGGGAAAAUCUUCAGUUACAGUUCGUACUGUUCCCCAAAUCCGAUGCUUCUGCUUCUUCCUGAUGGUUUUCAAAGUGACAUUCUUUCCUUCAUUCCAAUCUAUCUCACAGCCUGUGCAAUACUCAAUUGCAGUUCCCCUAUAGGGAUGGGGAUCAUAAUAUGCCAGCCUUGACUUCAGCACAUAAGUCUUUGUUAACAGCUCAUUUUUGAAAUAUUCAUUGGGCUUGAAGUGAAAUUCUAGUGUGAAACUGAGAGGCUCACCAGGACCUGAAAGUUUCACUUUAAUAUCUGUCAGGAGCUUCAGAAUAGGCUCAUCAUAUUUCUUAAUCAAAGGAGUGAGUGUGUCAACAUUUUUUAAGACAGUCAGCCAAAAAUCAGGAAUUCCUUUAGGAUCCUGUUCUUCUUUAUUCUCUUUUCCAGUAGCCUCAAUGUCAUCACCAUUAUCAUCAUCAUCAUCAUCGCCAUCAUCUUCCUCAACAGCAUAAUCAUAAUAAUCUCCCUCAUAACCAUCAUCCUCAUCCAUAUACUCAUGCACCAGACCCUCCUCAUUACCAUACAUCUCUUCCUCAUCAUACAUCUCAUCAUCAUAGUCCUCUGAGUCUGAUUUAUAUUCACAUUCCUCUUUUGUAGGUUCAUAGAUUGCAUUUAUAAUCUGACGUCUUUUUUCCAAUAAGGGUUGAUACAUUUCAGCAAACUUUCUUUCAAUGCCAUGAAAUUCCCUCAUAAAUUUGGAUUCUAGAUUGGCCACUCUAGUUUGAAGCUUUUUGAGGGCUAACACACGGUACUUAACUUUCAAAGGUAGACUUUCAACAAAGUCUGUAUCUAAAAGAUAACCAAUAAGUCCUUUUGGACGAUCUGAAUCCUCAUCAAUAUCUUCAUCUUUUACCCCACCUUCCCCGGACCCAGCAGCAGCAUCUUCUCCUUUUCCCCCUUCUUUCCCAGGCCCAACGGCGGCUUCUUCACCGCGCUCCUUAUCAUCUCCAGGCCCAGCUGCGACAUCUUCACUCUGCUCCGGCUGUUCCCCGGGUCCCUCCAUAAUUACCUUAUUAUCAGCCUCUUCUUGACUAAAUUCUAACAGUUUCUUGUGGUCGGCUGACUCGGCCAUUUUUCAAAGGACCGUAACGCGUAAGGUGGCUACCGCCAAGAUAAGGAGACCUGACCUCCGCAGGGAAAGACUCACCGGAAUAGCAGAAGCGGUGGUGGCUGGGGCAGAGGUGGAGCGAGCAGUAGUGGCUGGCUGGGCUGCGGGAAUAACGGUGGAGGCUGCUGCGGGGAUGAAUGCUGUGAGAAGUGGACAGAGGCAACGGUAGGAUGGGCUUGGGUGCAGAGAGUGGCGAGGCCAGUCUCGCAGGAGCGAGCCAGAGACGGCAGAGAGCUGCAGUUGGGCGGACCUCCUUCGCAAGCAGCAGCUGCUGCAAGAAAAACCGGUGCCGCAAUAUGAUUACACAGAGG